GAUGAACGCUGGCGGCGUGCUUAACACAUGCAAGUCGAACGGUGAAGCAGGAGCUUGCUCCUGUGGAUCAGUGGCGAACGGGUGAGUAACACGUGAGCAAUCUGCCCUGGACCCUGGGAUAAGCGCUGGAAACGGCGUCUAAUACUGGAUACGAGACGUGGCCGCAUGGUCAACGUCUGGAAAGAUUUUUUGGUUCAGGAUGGGCUCGCGGCCUAUCAGCUUGUUGGGGAGGUAAUGGCUGACCAAGGCGUCGACGGGUAGCCGGCCUGAGAGGGUGACCGGCCACACGAGGACUUAGACACGGCCCAGACUCCUACGGGAGGCAGCAGUGGGGAAUAUUGCACAAUGGGCGAAAGCCUGAUGCAGCACCGCCGCGUGAGGGAUGACGGCCUUCGGGUUGUAAACCUCUUUUAGCAAGGAAGAAGCGAAAGUGACGGUACUUGCAGAAAAAGCGCCGGCUAACUACGUGCCAGCAGCCGCCGUAACAC
rnacentral:rRNA from 1 species